rnacentral:rRNA from 1 species
AUUGAAUGCUGGCGGCAUGCCUUACACAUGCAAGUCGAACGGCAGCACGGGAGCAAUCCUGGUGGCGAGUGGCGAACGGGUGAGUAACAUAUCGGAACGUGCCCAGUAGUGGGGGAUAACCCGGCGAAAGGCCGGACUAAUACCGCAUACGACCUACGGGUGAAAGCAGGGGAUCGCGAAGACCUUGCGCUAUCGGAGCGGCCGAUAUCCAGAUUAGCUUGUUGGUGGGGUAAAAGCCGUACCAAGGCGACGAUCUGUAGCUGGUCUGAGAGGAUGAUCAGCCACACUGGGACUGAGACACGGCCCAGACUCCUACGGGAGGCAGCAGUGGGGAAUCUUAGACAAUGGGCGCAAGCCUGAUCUAGCCAUGCCGCGUGAGCGAUGAAGGCCUUAGGGUUGUAAAGCUCUUUCGUGGGGGAAGAGUAAUGACUGUACCCCAAGAAGAAGCCCCGGCUAACUCCGUGCCAGCAG